rnacentral:misc_RNA from 1 species
AGAGAGAGAUGAAAGAAUGAAAUUUCCCUAUUCAUAAAUUCUGUGUGUAAGACAAUGAUUUGUUCCAAAUCAUAAUUGAAGUCAAUUUCUCUUAAAAAAAAUCAACUUCAAAACAAGAAUCAUCACAUAUCAAGCCACAAAAAGGAAUCAAAAGAUUCUCUAAAUAAGAAGGUACUAAAUAAAUAAUUAAAUUGCAUCAAAUCCCCACUUCACAGAACCCAUCAGUGAAAACAGCUACAACACUAACAAUGAUCAGUUUACAUAAAGGAAAAUAUGCAUAAAACCAAUUACCCAAGUCAAAUCACACAAUAAUACCGAAUCAACAAGCAAAAUAAACAGAGAGAAACAAAACUCCAGAUAAAACAAAACCCUUAUAGUAAGAAUUCCAACACCAAUU